GUUAGGAAUAUUGGACAAUGGGCGAAAGCCUGAUCCAGCCAUGCCGCGUGAACGAUGAAGGCCUUCGGGUUGUAAAGUUCUUUAGCCGAUGAUUAUAAUGACUGUAGUCGGAAAAUAAGCCCCGGCUAACUUCGUGCCAGCAGCCGCGGUAAUACGAAGGGGGCGAGCGUUAUUCGGAAUCACUGGGCGUAAAGCGUGCGUAGGCGGUUUUGUAAGUUAGGAUUGAAAGCCCAGGGCUCAACCUUGGAAUUGCUCUUAAAACUGCAAGGCUCGAAUCUCGGAGAGGAUAGCGGAAUUUCCAGUGUAGCAGUGAAAUGCGUAGAUAUUGGAAGGAACACCAGUGGCGUAAGCGGCUAUCUGGACGAGUAUUGACGCUGAGGCACGAAAGCGUGGGGAGCAAACAGGAUUAGAAACCCCUGUAGUCC
rnacentral:rRNA from 1 species